UACGUAGGGUGCAAGCGUUAUCCGGAAUGAUUGGGCGUAAAGCGUCCGCAGGUGGCAGUUCAAGUCUGCUGUCAAAGACCGGGGCUUAACUUCGGAAAGGCAGUGGAAACUGAACAGCUAGAGUAUGGUAGGGGCAGAGGGAAUUCCUGGUGUAGCGGUGAAAUGCGUAGAGAUCAGGAAGAACAUCGGUGGCGAAGGCGCUCUGCUGGACCAUAACUGACACUCAGGGACGAAAGCGAGGGGAGCGAAUGGG
rnacentral:rRNA from 1 species